UAGUCAACGAUGGAUAGGGGUUCUGAGAGGAAGGUCCCCCACAUUGGAACUGAGACACGGUCCAAACUCCUACGGGAGGCAGCAGUGAGGAAUAUUGGUCAAUGGGCGAUGGCCUGAACCAGCCAAGUAGCGUGAAGGAUGACUGCCCUAUGGGUUGUAAACUUCUUUUAUAAAGGAAUAAAGUCGGGUAUGCAUACCCGUUUGCAUGUACUUUAUGAAUAAGGAUCGGCUAACUCCGUGCCAGCAGCCGCGGUAAUACGGAGGAUCCGAGCGUUAUCCGGAUUUAUUGGGUUUAAAGGGAGCGUAGAUGGAUGUUUAAGUCAGUUGUGAAAGUUUGCGGCUCAACCGUAAAAUUGCAGUUGAUACUGGAUGUCUUGAGUGCAGUUGAGGCAGGCGGAUUCGUGGUGUAGCGGUGAAUGCUUAGAUAUCACGAAGAACUCCGAUUGCGAAGGCAGCCUGCUAAGCUG
rnacentral:rRNA from 1 species